rnacentral:rRNA from 1 species
AUUGAACGCUGGCGGUAUGCUUAACACAUGCAAGUCGAACGGUAACAGCAAGAGCUUGCUCUUGGCUGACGAGUGGCGGACGGGUGAGUAACGCGUAGGAAUCUGCCCAGUAGAGGGGGGUAGCCCGAGGAAACUCGGAUUAAUACCGCAUACGCCCUACGGGGGAAAGCGGGGGAUCUUCGGGCCUCACGCUAUUAGAUGAGCCUGCGUUAGAUUAGCUAGUUGGUGGGGUAAAGGCCUACCAAGGCGACGAUCUAUAGCUGGUCUGAGAGGACGAUCAGCCACACUGGGACUGAGACACGGCCCAGACUCCUACGGGAGGCAGCAGUGGGGAAUAUUGCACAAUGGGCGCAAGCCUGAUGCAGCAAUACCGCGUGUGUGAAGAAGGCCUGCGGGUUGUAAAGCACUUUCAAUAGUGAAGAAGGGCUCUUAGUUAAUAGCUUUGAGUCUUGACGUUAACUAUACAAGAAGCACCGGCUAACUCCGUGCCAGCAGCCGCGGUAAUACGGAGGGAUCAAACGUUAAUCGGAAUUACUGGGCGUAAAGCGCGCGUAGGUGGUUUAUUAAGUGGGAUGUGAAAGCCCCAGGCUUAACCUGGGAACAGCAAUUUGAUACUGGUAAACUAGAGUAUGAUAGAGGGGGGGUAGAAUUCAUAGUGGUCUAGCUACGGUGAAAUGCGUAGAGAUCGGGAGGCACACCAGUGGCGAAGGCGACUUCCUGGACUAAUACUGACGUUGAGGUACGAAAGCGUGGGGAGCAAACAGGAUUAGAUACCCUGGUAGUCCACGCCGUAAACGAUGUCUACUAGCCGUUGGGGACUUGAGGUCUCAGUGGUGCAGCUAACGCGUGAAGUUGACCGCCUCUGGGGAGUACGGCCGCAAGGCUAAAACUCAAAUGAAUUGACGGGGGCCCGCACAAGCGGUGGAGCAUGUGGUUUAAUUCGAUGCAACGCGAAGAACCUUACCUACCCUUGACAUCCUGCGAACUUUCUAGAGAUAGAUUGGUGCCUUCGGGAACGCAGUGACAGGUGCUGCAUGGCUGUCGUCAGCACCUGUCGUGAGAUGUUGGGUUAAGUCCCGUAACGAGCGCAACCCUUGUCCUUAGUUGCCAGCACGUAAUGGUGGGAACUCUAAGGAGACUGCCGGUGAUAAACCGGAGGAAGGUGGGGAUGACGUCAAGUCAUCAUGGCCCUUAUGGGUAGGGCUACACACGUGCUACAAUGGCCGGUACAGAGGGCAGCUAACCCGCGAGGGGGCGCAAAUCCCAGAAAGCCGGUCGUAGUCCGGAUCGGAGUCUGCAACUCGACUCCGUGAAGUCGGAAUCGCUAGUAAUCGCGAAUCAGCAUGUCGCGGUGAAUACGUUCCCGGGCCUUGUACACACCGCCCGUCACACCAUGGAAGUGGGUUGCAAAAGAAGUGGGUAGCUUAACCUUCGGGAGGGCGCUCACCACUUUGUGAUUCGUAACUGGGGUG